AAAACAAAAAUUAAAUAAAAUAUGCAAGAAAUUUCAGAGAUUACAUUAAAAAGGGACAAUCGAAAGUGGAGAGAAAACUGAAGGGGGUUGUAUGAAUCUUCUUCUUUAUGAAGCAUCUCAGUCUUAUCAGAUCUGGAAGGAGUGUAACCGUGUCUUCCACAAGCAAACUCCUGCGCAUAAAACUCAGUUUCUUUUGAUCUGAUUCAGCAUGUGUUUGAAGUACCACAUUAAUUAGGAAAAUUAGUAUACAAUAAGUCAGCUGAAAAGGUGUAUUUCUCUAUGCAAAUCAUAUACAUCGAUGUCUAUCCAAUACAACACAGCUAUAGAUUAUUAUUAUUUGCAAUAUGGUUUGGUUAGAGAGGUUAAUGUUGGUGGUAGAUUUUAAUGGCUUAACUUACCGAUUACUGAAGAUUUAGAAUCUAAAUUAGUGAAAUAAUUUAUAAAAGAAAAGGGACAAAAAAUCGGUGGAUACAGUAGAGAAAAAAAAAAUACAGUAGAGAAAAAAAAUAAGGUAGACAAGUUUGAUGGUUUUAUUGGACAUGUAUUAUUUUUAGAAAAGACAAAGAAGCUAGGGUAAUAUUUGGACAUGUAUAAAGAGAUGAAGCGGGGAUGGAGAGGAUGGUAUGCGGAACACAAACAAAUAGAUAAAAUAUGUUUUGUAAAGAGUCGCCGAGUCUCCAGACCUUGAGCACAGCACAGAGCCUCAGCUCUCUGUUCCCUAAACCAUCAGCACUCAUCAACCCCAUUU
rnacentral:lncRNA from 1 species